AGACCGGAGUGAGCGGACUGUCUGACAGCAACGGAGCAUGGAUGGAGGAAACUCCGUCUGACCUGCUGCUUGCCAGUGAGCUCCACUACAACACCGUGGAGGCUCGUGACAAUGAGGAGUCCUACAGUCCUGAUCAGGUAGGUAUCAAUUGUUUUGCAGGGGAGGAUGUACGCCGGGGGAGGAGACGGAGAGAGCAGAUGAGUGAGGACAACACCGAAGAGGCCCCUCCUAGAAGAAGACGGCGUUUGGAGCAAGAAGAUGAAGACGAUGAGCUGAUUGACUUCACUGGUUGGGAGAGGAGCUCGUCCCCUUCGUGGCACGUAUCCCCUACAUUGUCAUUCGUACCACCUGAAGAUACUCCAUCCAGCAGGGCGAAUUUCUGGAUGAGGAUGAGGGAGCACAUGAGUGAAGAAGAGGACAACGAUGAAGAGGACCCUCCUAGAAGUAGACAACAUGAGGAGCAAGAAGACACUGAGAAUGAUUUGGAGAGGAGCUCAUCCUCCUUCUCCCUUACUUUUCACUUCUUUCCCACUAAAGAUGGUGCGAUUUACGUUCUUCUUGUCGUUAUCAGCACUCACGACGUAAUUUUGGGCCCAACUGGACUUGUUCCCGUUUCCACUGACAUUCCUAUUAGUUUUCUAGUUACUCUUAACUAGUAGUAUAGUACUAGCUAUUAAGCUACCAUUAGAUAAGCUCCAGUCUUAGGGUUUUACAAGUCUGGUAGCUAUUUCACCUCUAGACUCCAGCAUCAGUCUUUCUAAAAAUCUGUGUUAUGUAUUUUCGGACUAGCCUUCGCUCAGUUCACUCAUUUCAUUUGUACAGUAGGAUUUGUAUUGUGUAUUUAGGAUAUAAGCAUUAAUCUAAUGUAUGGUUAUCAAAUUUAUAUAUAUUAAAUGUGUAGGCUAGACAUAUUAGUGCUAAAAUAGGUUAUGUCUAUUUUUAUGAUGUUUAUUAAAUACAAUAAACGUUUUAUUAAUGAUGGCAUUUAGUUAAAUCUGAAAUAAUCAAUAAACAAUUAUUU
ensembl:lncRNA